AGCGAUGGUGGCAGCAGUGGUGA
rnacentral:misc_RNA from 1 species